rnacentral:rRNA from 1 species
AAGCGCUGGAGCGAGAUGCUUACAUCAUGCAAGUCGUACGAGAGUUUUAACUCACGUGGCGGACGGGUGAGUAACACGUAAGAAUUUGCUCUUUAGGAGGGGGACAACAAUUGGAAACGAUUGCUAAUACCCGCCAUAUGCUUCGAGUGAAUGGAUUUUUCCGCCUAAAGAGAAGCUUGCGGGCUGAUUAGCUUGUUGGUAAGGGUAAUGGGCUUACCAAGGCGACGAUCAGCUAUCUGGUUUGAGAGGACGAUCAGACACACUGGAACUGAGACACGGUCCAGACUCCUACGGGAGGCAGCAGUGGGGGGAAUUUUCCGCAAUGGGCGAAAAGCCUGACGGGAGCAAUCUCGCGUGAGGGAUGACGGCCUAUGGGUUGUAAACCUCUUUUUUUCAGGGAGGAAUAAAAUGACGUGUACCUGAAGAAAUAGCAAUCGGCUAACUCCGUGGCCAGCAGCCGCGGUAAGACGGAGGAUGCAAGUGUUAUCCAGGAAUCACUGGGCGUAAAGCGGUCUUGUUAGGUGGUUUAAUAAGUCAACUGUUAAAUCUUGAGGCUCAACCUCAAAAUCGCAGUCGAAACUAUAGGCUAGAGUAUAGUAGGGGGUAAAGGGGAAUUUUCCGAGUUGAGCGGUGCAAAUGCGUAGAGAUUGGAAAGAACACCGAUGGCGAAGGCCUUUACUGGGCUAUUACUGAAACACUCAGAGGCGAAAGCUAGGGUAGGCAAAUGGGAUUAGAUACCCCAGUAGUCCUAGCCGUAAACAAUGGAUACUAGAUGUUGAACAGAUCGACCUGUGCAGUAAUUAAAGCUAACGCGUUAAGUAUCCCGCCUGGGAAGUAUGCUCGCAAGAGUGAAACUCAAUGGAAUUGACGGGGGCCCGCACAAGCGGUGGAGCAUGUGGUUUAAUUCGAUGCAACGCGAAGAACCUUACCAGGGUUUGACAUGAUACGAAUUUCUUUGAAAGAAGAAAGUGCCGUUUGGAACGUAUACACAGGUGGUGCAUGGCUGUCGUCAGCUCGUGUCGUGAGAUGCUUGGGUUAAGUUCCCGCAACGAGCGCAACCCUCAUUUUUUAGUUGCCUUAUGGAACUCUAGAAAGACCUGCCGGUUAUAAACCGGAGGAAGGCGGGGAUGACGUCAAGUCAGCAUGCCCCUUACACCCUGGGCUACACACGUGCUACAAUGGGGUGAGACAAUGAGAUGCAACUCUGCGAAGACUAGCUAAUCUAUAAACUCACUCUAAGUUCGGAUUGUAGGCUGCAACUCGCCUGCAUGAAGUUGGAAUCGCUAGUAAUCGCUGGUCAGCUACACAGCGGUGAAUUUCGUUCCCGGGGCCUUUGUACACACCGCCGUCACACCAUGGAAGCUGGUUAUGCCCGAAGUCGUUACUCUAACCAUUUGGAGGAGGAUGCCUAAGGUAGAAUUAGGACUGGGUAA